UGUUUCUACAUUACUUAUUUUGAGAGCGAGUAUCAGUUUUAAAUUUGUCUUAUUUCAACCAUUUGAUAGUGAGAUGAUACAAUAAUUUCUUUUUAUCGAGUUCCCGUUAUUUGUGAUGCUUUGUGUAAAUUCUCAGGUUUUGAAAAGGAGAUUUCUACAUCCUUAUUAUGCUUCAUGUCCUUUUGGCAAAAUGCAAUAUGAUGGAUGACUGUUCGGUGAAAACGGGAAAAGGGCGUCAAGGAGUGCCCCUAAUUUUUUGGUCAUUCUAUUCGUCCUAAGACAAACAACUGUCUUCAUCUGAUGUCCAGAUGUGCUUGAAAAGAUUUUAGCAAUCUCAUGUAAUUCCUUUCUAUGUCUAUAUGUUCAUUCUAUUUAUAGUCUGGCUAUUGUAUUGACCCUAACGGCUAGGUGCUAAAAUUUGAUCUUUCGGGUGAUAAUGAUUUAAUGGAAACA